GCCUGGGUGGCUCAGUCGGUUGAGCGGCCGACUUCAGCUCAGUCAUGAUCUCGCGGUAAGUGAGUUCGAGCCCCACAUCGGGCU
rnacentral:tRNA from 1 species